ACCCUACGGGGGGCAGCAGUGGGGAAUAUUGCACAAUGGGGGAAACCCUGAUGCAGCGACGCCGCGUGAGUGAAGAAGUAAUUCGUUAUGUAAAGCUCUAUCAGCAGGGAAGAAAACGACGGUACCUGAGUAAGAAGCCCCGACUAACUACGUGCCAGCAGCCGCGGUAAUACGUAGGGGGCAAGCGUUAUCCGGAUUUACUGGGUGUAAAGGGAGCGUAGACGGAAAGGCAAGUCAGAAGUGAAAGCCCAAGGCUCAACCAUGGCACUGCUUUUGACACUGUCAAACUAGAGUACGGGAGAGGG
rnacentral:rRNA from 1 species